rnacentral:lncRNA from 1 species
UCGGAAUAGAGUAGAAACAGGCUCUGGUCCAAUAGAGUCAAAACAUAGCAGAAAAUGGGUUUAUCCACGACACACGACGCUCAGGCGCCCAAAAUGGGCGCUCGGGCGGUGGACGGUCCUCAUGUAGGGCUUGAGCCUCCAGAAUGGGCGCCCAGGCAGUGGACGUUGAUUUCCAGUGCUUAAGCCUCCAUACAGCGCGCCUAGGUUGUGUGGUAUUCCUCCUUCUGGUGCUCUUUCAAGCCUUUCUGAGCUCUAUCCC